AAAGUUUUGCCAUGUUAGUGUUAAUCUAGUAUGGGUAACUGCAGCCUGGAGAAAUGGGCGUGGUAAAAGGUAGGGGCGUGGCGAAAGGUUUUUCAUUGGUCAAAAAAAUUUUCCGGUAGAGGCGUGGCAAAAGGUUUUUUAUUGGUCAGGUUUUCUUUUCGGUCAAAUGUGUUGGCCAAUCAGCAAUCACCAAACGCUUGCACAACGGCGUCGGUAAAGACAUGAUGUUGACUGCUGUAAACAGACAUGUAUUAAGAUUUACGAUCAAAACAGUUUGGUAAUAUGUUUAGGUGUCCGUUUUGUGUGAAUAUUUUGAGAGCUUUACACAUGAUACACACUCAUCUGCAAAGUCACAAACCUCGCACAGUUUAUCACGAACCCUUGUACAUUGCUCCUGAGGUUGGGUUUGACUAUUCUGAGGCUAUAUGACUUGCAUAAGGAGAUUGUGGUGUGGGUUCUUGCUUGAAGACUCAGGGUAAAUAAAAAAUCUUUUUAUACAUUUAAAGUGAUGUCAGUUAGCACUUUGCAAUUAAUUUUUGUUUUCCCUCAAGGUCUCCUUAAGAACGAAAAAGACCUAGAAAUAUGAAAUUUUGAAAUAUAUAUAUACAUACAUACAUACACACUGGCCACUUUAUUAAGUACACCUUACUACAGAGGUGUCAAGGUCAUUUCUUGGAGGACCGCAGCUCUUCACAGUUUUGCUCCAACCCUAAUCUAACACAUCUGAUCCAAAAAAUCAAGGUGAUCAAGACUCUUUUGAAUGCCUUGAUUAUUUAGAGUAGAUUUGUUUGAUUACAGUUGGAGCAAAACUGUGCAGAGCUGCGGUCCUCCAAGAAUUGACUUU